AGAUUGAACGCUGGCGGCAUGCCUAACACAUGCAAGUCGAACGGGAGUAGCAAUACUCUAGUGGCGGACGGGUGAGGAAUACGUAGGAAUUUGCCCUUAAGUGGGGGAUAACCCGGGGAACCCGGAUUAAUACCGCAUGACCUCGAAAGAGCAAAGUGGGGGAUCGCAAGACCUCACGCUUUUGGAGAAGCCUACGUCGGAUUAGCUAGUUGGUGAGGUAAUGGCUCACCAAGGCGACGAUCCGUAACUGGUCUGAGAGGAUGAUCAGUCACACCGGAACUGAGACACGGUCCGGACUCCUACGGGAGCAGCAGUGGGGAAUAUUGGACAAUGGGCGACAAGCCUG
rnacentral:rRNA from 1 species